rnacentral:rRNA from 1 species
CCUACGGGAGGCAGCAGUGAGGAAUAUUGGUCAAUGGUCGAGAGACUGAACCAGCCAAGCCGCGUGAGGGAUGAAGGUACUGUGUAUCGUAAACCUCUUUUGUCAGGGAACAAAUGCCGGGACGUGUCCCCGGAUGAGUGUACCUGAAGAAAAAGCAUCGGCUAACUCCGUGCCAGCAGCCGCGGUAAUACGGAGGAUCCGAGCGUUAUCCGGAUUUAUUGGGUUUAAAGGGUGCGUAGGCGGUUCGUUAAGUUAGAGGUGAAAUCCCGGGGCUCAACCCCAGAACUGCAUUUGAUACUGGCGGGCUGGAGUUCAGUUGAGGUAGGCGGAAUGUAUGGUGUAGCGGUGAAAUGCAUAGAGAUCACAAAGAACACCGAUUGCGAAGGCAGCUUACCAAACUACGACUGACGUUGAGGCACGAAAGCGUGGGGAGCAAACAGGAUUAGAUACCCUUGUAGUC